GAUGAACGCUGGCGGCGUGCCUAAUACAUGCAAGUCGAGCGAACAGACGAUGAGCUUGCUCCUCUGACGUUAGCGGCGGACGGGUGAGUAACACGUGGAUCACCUACCUAUAAGUCGGGGAUAACUUCGGGAAACCGGAGCUAAUACCGGAUAAUAUAUUGAACCGCAUGGUUCAAUAGUGAAAUACGGCUUUGCUGGCUCUAAUAGAUGCUUCCGCGCCGGAUUAGCUAGUUGGUAAGGUAACGGCCUACCAAGGCUACGAUGCGUAGCCGACCUGAGAGGAUGAUCGGCCACACUGGAACGGAGACACGGUCCAGACUCCUAAGGGAGGCAGCAGUAGGGAAUCUUAGGCAACGGGCGAAAGCCUGACGCAGCAACGCCGCGUGAGUGAUGACGGUCUUCGGAUCGUAAAACCCUGUUAUUGGGGAAGAACAACUGUCGAAUGAACCAUGGCCGUCUUGACGGUACCUAAUCAGAAAGCCCCGGCUAACUACGUG
rnacentral:rRNA from 1 species